GGCAGAAAAGCAGAGGGUUUGUGCUGGGGAGGCGGGGUGUGCCCCAUUCCCCAGGACUUUGCCCUCCGACCUGCCUGCCACCCGGGGCCUGGUCCACCCUCCGCUGGCUGCUGCACUCCGGGCAGUGGAAGAGCCCUCCUGGGCUCCCGUCCCAGUGAUUUAGGGGCAUCCGGGAUCAGUGCUUUUCCAGAGGCCGGCUUCCUGAGGAAAUGGCUCAGCCACAAGUCUGAUCUCCAAAACAGGCCCGGGAUGAAAAAAACACGAAACACACAGGCAGCAGCUCCCGCCCGGAACCCCGACACCAUUCCAGCCACGGCGUCCCGCUCCGCAGGAACUGCAGGCCUUUACUCUCUACUGAGUCAUUAAAACCAAUAAUAAUAAGAGCAGUAAAGCUGCCACCUGCAACGCUGCCAUCCCAUAUGGGCACCUGUUCGAGUCCUGGCUGCUCCACUUCCGAUCCAGCUCCCUGCUAAUGGCCUGGGAAAGCAGUGGAAGAUGCCCCAAGUGCUUGGGCCUCUGCACCCACGUAGGAGACCCAGACACAAAGGGAAGAUCUGUCUCUCUGUCUCUGUAACUCUUUCAAAUAAAUAAAUCUUAAAGAAAACAAAAACAAAACCAGAAAA